rnacentral:lncRNA from 13 species
CCUUUCAAUAAAUGAAUAUUUACUAGGUUUAGUCAGAUUCAUUUCUUCAGAGAAUGAAAACCUGGUUGAUAUACCAUUACUACUUAUUAAAAUAUGACCGGCUGUCAUUUUUUAGCUUUGUGUAUGUAUUCAACUUUUUUCAUCCUCUCCAGUGUCUCAGUUCUACACCUUGUUCCACUCUGGCCCUCUGAUAUCCUGGUGCCCAAAAUGGAGCUCAGUGUUCUCUCUCCUGCCAAGUCCCCUGCUCACUCCCCACCUCGCCCUUCUCCUACUCUGGCCCCUCGGUGUCUUCCGAGUCCCAAGGAACCAGAGCAUGAUGUGCCCUACUUCAGUGGUAGUCAGUGAGACAGAGAGGCUGACAGAAUUUUGUCAGCAGUGGGAGCCCAGGGUGGAUGAUGCCUCUGUCCCUGAAGAGAGUGAGUGACUCAUGUGUUUUAACCAUUAUAUGCUGUGGAUUCUGAUUUCUAUAACCAAAAAUCCAUCACACCACAUUUCCUCAAUGUAUCCUUCUCUGUCAAUACCUUUUCUAUCUGUGUUGACCUCCAUCCCUGUGAAGUGCGGGACCGUAUGCGUACGGCGGUGGGCCAGGCCAGGCUGCUGAUGAAGGAGAGGUUUGAUCAGUUCUCUGGCCUGGUGGAUGACUGAGCUGGGCAGAGGAAAGAAGAUCACCACCUGCACCGACCUGCAAGGCUUCUGGGACAUGGUGUACUACCAAGUGGGUUAGUGACUAGGAGGACAUGAUCUCCUACGAUGUGGGUUAAUGAGGACAUGGUCUACUGUGUGUGUGUAGAAUUAGAUGAACAAACAGUCAGACACUGGUGGUUAAACUCUGUUUGUGCCUGUCUGUUAACACUACAGCUAAACUACGCUAGCUACCUCUAGGAAGAAUUACCACCUAGAUUGGUAGAGCAUCCUGAAAGGUUGAAAAUGUGGAUGCAAGCUUUCUAAAAAGGGCAACCACUCUUCUCUCUCUCUCUCUCCACUUGUUUGGCUCUUCCACUUUCAGGUAGAGGACGUGAACAAGAUGUUUGGUGCUCUGAAGGAGGUAGAGUCUAAAGGUUGGCAGGAGGAAAGCAAACCCCCACCACGACAGAGGAAGGUAGUCAAGAAGCUGCCCUCUGCUCUGGUGGC